UACGGGGGGGGCAAGCGUUGUUCGGAAUUACUGGGCGUAAAGGGCUCGUAGGUGGCCAACUAAGUCAGACGUGAAAUCCCUCAGCUUAACUGGGGAACUGCGUCUGAUACUGGAUGGCUUGAGUUUGGGAGAGGGAUGCGGAAUUCCAGGUGUAGCGGUGAAAUGCGUAGAUAUCGGGAGGAACACCGGUGGCGAAGGCGGCGACCUGGGUAGAUACUGACGCUGAGGUGCGAAAGCGUGGGGAGCAAACAGG
rnacentral:rRNA from 1 species